rnacentral:tRNA from 1 species
GCGAGCGUGGCGGAAUUGGCAGACGCGCAAGGUUUAGGUCCUUGUGUCCUUCGGGACGUGGAGGUUCGAAUCCUCUCGCUCGCA